rnacentral:rRNA from 1 species
AUGGAAAGAUUCAUCUUAUACUCGGAUUCAUUAGUGCGCGUUUUAGCCAUUGCCUGGGCCGACUCGGAUUCAAAAACGAAAGCGCGCGUUUUAGCUAUGCCUGGGCGACUGCGACUCGGAUUCAAAUUGCUUGCCGCGUCUCUUCUUUCUUGCUCGCCCCCCGUCUCCCGAAUUCCCGAUCUAUCUCACCUCGCUCUCCACCGCAUCCUCUUCCUCCCUCCCGCCGGAUCCCUGCUCUCGCGAUCGUUGUUUAAUCGUUGCUCCCGCGACUUCGCUACCGCGACCAUGGCCGGCACCACGGUGCUUCCGCAGUCUCUGCUCCCGCGCCGUAGCGCCGCCGCCGCCGCCGACCUGCGCUCCUGCUCCUCCCGCGUGCGCGUACACCCCGCCUUGAUGGCGAACCCCGCGGCUGCCAAGAGGCCAAAGCGUCCCGGAUCCGUGCACGACGUGCAGCCGCCGGCGAAGCGCGUUCGCGGUGCCUGCUCCGGGGGCAAGCUCCAUGUCGUGGUCCCCGUCAACAUCAAGGGCAGCAGCAAGCUUCCGUGUCCCAGCGGAGGCAAGGAUCCAAAGACUCCGACGUGCCUCCACCCUUCCGGGAUCAAGAACCAGGUCGCCGAAUCUCCGGAGAGCGCGACGCAACCGAAGCCGCAGAUCAGCAUGCGCGAACUGAUCGAGAAAGCUCGCCUCACCAUGGCUCGCCUCGACAAGGCUCGCUCUGCCUCCAAAGAAGAGGCCAACCGUCGGCAGGAGAUCGAGCGCAGCAGAGCAGAGGCCCGGCGAAAGGUGGAGCAGAUGGCGGACACGGUGCAGUUCAACGACCCCUGGAUCCAUCACUCCGACGUGACCAAGUCCCCUGAGGAGCUGCUCAAAGCAAGACAGCACGCAUGGCGUUAUCAAGCUCACCUCCUCGAGAUGGCUCGUCGACGGGACUUUGCAUCAGAGGAAGCAAAGCAGAGGAAGCAGAGGAACCAAUUCCUUUCUUGA